AGUGAACGCUGGCGGUAGGCCUAACAAAUGCAAGUCGAACGGCAGCACAGUAAGAGCUUGCUCUUACGGGUGGCGAGUGGCGGACGGGUGAGGAAUACAUCGGAAUCUACUUUUUCGUGGGGGAUAACGUAGGGAAACUUACGCUAAUACCGCAUACGACCUGCGGGUGAAAGCAGGGGAUCUUCGGACCUUGCGCGAUUGAAUGAGCCGAUGUCGGAUUAGCUAGUUGGCGGGGUAAAGGCCCACCAAGGCGACGAUCCGUAGCUGGUCUGAGAGGGUGAUCAGCCACACUGGAACUGAGACACGGUCCAGACUCCUACGGGAGGCAGCAGUGUGGAAUAUUGGACAAUGGGCGCAAGCCUGAUCCAGCCAUACCGCGUGGGUGAAGAAGGCCUUCGGGUUGUAAAGCCCUUUUGUUGGGAAAGAAAAGCAGCAGUUUAAGACCCCGCUGUUGUGACGGUACCCAAAGAAUAAGCACCGUCUAACUUCGUG
rnacentral:rRNA from 1 species